GACGAACGCUGACGGCGUGCUUAACACAUGCAAGUCGAGCGGAAAGGCCCUUUCGGGAGUACACGAGCGGCGAACGGGUGAGUAACACGUGAGCAAUCUGCCCUUCACUUUGGGAUAACCACCGGAAACGGUGGCUAAUACCGAAUACGACCACUUCAGGCAUCUGAUGGUGGUGGAAAGUUCCGGCGGUGAAGGAUGAGCUCGCGGCCUAUCAGCUUGUUGGUGAGGUAAUGGCUCACCAAGGCUUCGACGGGUAGCCGGCCUGAGAGGGUGACCGGCCACACUGGGACUGAGACACGGCCCAGACUCCUACGGGAGGCAGCAGUGGGGAAUAUUGGACAAUGGGCGAAAGCCUGAUCCAGCAACGCCGCGUGAGGGAUGACGGCCUUCGGGUUGUAAACCUCUUUCAGCGGGGACGAAGCGAAAGUGACGGUACCCGCAGAAGAAGGACCGGCCAACUACGUGCCAGCCGCCGCGGUAAUAC
rnacentral:rRNA from 1 species